GACCUCGAAUCAGGUAGGAAUACCCGCUGAACUUAAGCAUAUCAAAAGCGGAGGAA
rnacentral:rRNA from 1 species